AGUGAACGCUGGCGGUAGGCCUAACACAUGCAAGUCGAACGGCAGCACAGUAAGAGCUUGCUCUUACGGGUGGCGAGUGGCGGACGGGUGAGGAAUACAUCGGAAUCUACUUUUUCGGGGGGGAUAACGUAGGGAAACUUACGCUAAUACCGCAUACGACCUACGGGUGAAAGCAGGGGAUCUUCGGACCUUGCGCGAUUGAAUGAGCCGAUGUCGGAUUAGCUAGUUGGCGGGGUAAAGGCCCACCCAGGCGACGAUCCGUAGCUGGUCUGAGAGGAUGAUCAGCCACACUGGAACUGAGACACGGUCCAGACUCCUACGGGAGGCAGCAGUGGGGAAUAUUGGACAAUGGGCGCAAGCCUGAUCCAGCCAUACCGCGUGGGUGAAGAAGGCCUUCGGGUUGUAAAGCCCUUUUGUUGGGAAAGAAAAGCAGCAGGUUAAUACCCCGCUGUUCUGACGGUACCCAAAGAAUAAGCACCGGCUAACUUCGUG
rnacentral:rRNA from 1 species